rnacentral:rRNA from 1 species
CAGUAGCCGCGGGAAUACGGAGGGAGCUAGCGUUGUUCGGAAUUACUGGGCGUAAAGCGCACGUAGGCGGCUUUGUAAGUUAGAGGUGAAAGCCUGGAGCUCAACUCCAGAAUUGCCUUUAAGACUGCAUCGCUUGAAUCCGGGAGAGGUGAGUGGAAUUCCCAGUGUAGAGGUGAAAUUCGUAGAUAUUGGGAAGAGCACCAGUGGCGAAGGCGGCUCACUGGCUCAUUCUAGACGCUGAGGUGCGAAAGUGUGGGGAGCAGACAGGAUUAGAUACCCCUGUAGUCCCUGUCUCUUAUAC